UACGUAGGGCGCAAGCGUUGUCCGGAAUUAUUGGGCGUAAAGAGCUCGUAGGCGACCUAUUGCGUCCGCUGUGAAAUCCCAGGGCUUAACCCUGGGCCUGCAGUGGAUACGGGUAGGCUGGAGGCAGGCAGGGGAGAACGGAAUUCCCGGUGUAGCGGUGAAAUGCGCAGAUAUUGGAAGGAACACCAGUGGCGAAGGCGGCCACCUGGACAAACACUGACACUGAGGCACGAAAGCGUGGGUAGCGAACAGG
rnacentral:rRNA from 1 species